rnacentral:rRNA from 1 species
GGGUUUGAUCCUGGCUCAGGAUGAACGCUUGCGGCGCGCUUAAAACGUGCAAGUCGAACGGACCUCUUUUUCUUCGGAAGCUGAGGUUAGUGGCAGACGGGUGCGUAACACGUGGGUUACCUGCCCCGGAGUGGGGGAUAACUAUUCGAAAGGAUAGCUAAUACCGCAUAUUCUUGGUUCGCCAAGGAAAGUUCCGGCGCUCUGGGAGGGGCUCGCGGCCGAUUAGCUUGUUGGUGAGGUAAUGGCUCACCAAGGCGAUGAUCGGUAGCUGGUCUGAGAGGAUGAUCAGCCACACUGGCACUGAGACACGGGCCGGACUCCUACGGGAGGCAGCAGUUAGGAAUAUUGCGCAAUGGACGAAAGUCUGACGCAGCGACGCCGCGUGGGUGAUGAAGGCCUUCGGGUCGUAAAGCCCUUUUCUGGGGGAAGAGGAAGGACGGUACCCCAGGAAUAAGUCUCGGCUAACUACGUGCCAGCAGCCGCGGUAAAACGUAGGAGGCAAGCGUUAUCCGGAUUUACUGGGCGUAAAGCGCGUGCAGGUGGCUUUGUAAGUCGGACGUGAAAUCUCCCGGCUCAACUGGGAGGCGUCGUUCGAAACUGCGGGGCUUGAGGAUGGGAGAGGGAAGCGGAAUUCCCGGUGUAGCGGUGGAAUGCGCAGAUAUCGGGAGGAACACCAGUGGCGAAGGCGGCUUCCUGGCCCGUUCCUGACACUCAAGCGCGAAAGCGUGGGUAGCGAACGGGAUUAGAUACCCCGGUAGUCCACGCCGUAAACGAUGGAUGCUAGGUGUUGGGGGUGUUGACCCCCUCAGUGCCGAAGCUAACGCGAUAAGCAUCCCGCCUGGGGACUACGGCCGCAAGGCUAAAACUCAAAGGAAUUGACGGGGGCCCGCACAAGCAGCGGAGCGUGUGGUUUAAUUCGAUUCAACGCGCAGAACCUUACCUGGGUUUGACAUGCUUGGAUGCCCGCCUGGAAACAGGUUGGGCUGCCCUUCGGGGUGAAACUUGCACAGGUGCUGCAUGGCUGUCGUCAGCUCGUGUCGUGAGAUGUCGGGUUAAGUCCUUUAACGAGCGAAACCCUUGCCGUUAGUUGCCAGCGGGUCAUGCCGGGGACUCUAGCGGGACUGCCGGUGUUAAACCGGAGGAAGGUGGGGAUGACGUCAAGUCAUCAUGGCCUUUAUGCCCAGGGCCUCACACGUGCUACAAUGGCGGAUACAGAGCGAAGCAAGACCGCGAGGUGGAGCAAAUCGCAAAAAGUCCGCCCCAGUUCGGAUUGCAGGCUGUCAACUCGCCUGCAUGAAGGUGGAAUCGCUAGUAAUCGCGUAUCAGCUAUGACGCGGUGAAUGUGUUCCUGAGCCUUGUACACACCGCCCGUCAAGUGAUGGGAGUUGGGAGUACCCGAAGUCGGGUUGCCAACCUUUCGAGGGGGCGCCUGCCGACGGUAAGCCCGAUGACUGGCACUAAGUCGGAACAAGGUA